UAAAACACAGGAGAAGCAAAUCAGAUAAUUUUUGUUUUCCUUUUUUCUCUGAGGUUUCUCAGUUUCUCAGGAGAAAAAUCCUGGGCAAAGGGAUUUUCCCAGAAAAUUGUGAAUGUGACAAAUCCCCAAGAAGGGGUGAUAGCUUUUUGCUGUAAUUUUGUGGAGAUGGAGUACAUGAUUCUGAACAGCACAGUGGUGGAACAGGACUGGUUACUGAGCUCCAUUCUAUUCAAACCAGCUCAGUUUGCCAAAAAGUCAUGCAGUGGCACUUGUCCAUGUACCCUGCUACUUUAAAGACCUGACUCAAGCACUGCACAGGAACCAGCAGGUCUGGGAGGGUUUCAGAAGAGCUGAUCUCUGUGUGCUGCCUCACAGGCUGCUCUCACCACACACUGCAAGUCCCUCUCAGCUGUUUGUGACACUGUUUGUGGCACAGUUUGUACAAAUGGCAUCUCACCCUGCUUGCUUCCAGUCCCAGUGGUCCUUUCCAAGAAGGAGCUCUGACAGUUUGCUGGGAUUGUGUUCAGGCUGCAGGGCCCCUGGAGCUGUUCUGAGUGCAUUUAACAGCUGGGGUCGGGACAGAAAAAUGAGGGACUCUGUGCUGUGUGCACUCAAUAGAGCAUAAUGGCUCUGCUGGGCUGGGCUGUCACUCCUCCAGGAGUUUUGGGGUAUGCCACAGCUGCACAGCACUGCUUUUGUCAUGACCUGAGGUCCUGCAGGAAGGACAGGCCUGCAGAGUGUCUGCUGGAACAAAGCCCAGGAGACCAACCCCAGCAGACAGCUCUGGAAACUGGGGCUCCACUGGAAACUCUGUGGGCAAGAGGUUUUAAAACCCACAGGGGAGUUCUGUGGCCAAAACCAGCUCAUGACACCGUGCUGGCUCUGGUCAUUUGCUGGUUCUGGCUGGUCCAUUCCUUGGUGGCUCCUGCGUCCACGUCUCUGCCCACAGGGACAGAGGUUUCUGUUGCCUCUAUAUGUACCUGCAGAGGCAAGGACCUGGGGGGACAGCCCUCCUGUUAGACCAGGUCUGAGCAAGCUGUCUGGGAUGUCUCUGUGAUAAUCUCUGGUUUAGGCUGACCUCAGACCCUCAACCCCUGCAGCCAAGGUGUGAGUUCACUGCUGAUGGAGAAGAUGUCACUGCCCUGCAUUUUGAUGUCAUGCUGGGCAGUAAAUGCAGGGCACUUGACAAACUGUGAAUAUUCUCAGCCAGUAAAGCUUGAUUUCAGUCAUGGAUUUUAAUGAUACUGUGCAAAAAACUCUAAAGCAAAUAGAUAUGAAAAUCUAUGUUUGAUCUUACAGAACCUCUCAAGUGCCUGAGAAAGUUUCAGGCCCAGUGGCUGAAGUUAAGCUAAAUUAAGCACUGUUGAAAUGCAGAGUAGGCAGGGAACAGCUUCCCUUUUGCAGUCCUGGCAAUGCAACUGCCCGUGCAAGGGGAAAUCCUUUUCAGUGUCAGAGAAAUCAUUGGCUUUGAAACCUCCAUCAUCUGUGUUAUCUCCUUUAAUCUAUCCAUCUAUCCUUUAGUACUGCAGUUUCAGUGUCACUGUACACCUUCCCAGUCCAGUACAUGUGUUAAAUUUUCAAUAUCAGUUUCUGAGUUCUGGUGGUUUUUGACUGCUUUCUUUUUUUAUUUUUAUUUUUAUUAAAUGAAGCUGGGGUUAGAUUUGUGUAUACUGCAAUGCAUUCAGAUAUAGAACACAAAUGACCUGCCUCUAAUCACAGUGCUGCUUUUGAUAAGAAAAUGUAGAGGUAACUAAUUCAUCCAGCUGAAGAGAUCUGAAGUCUGGUGCUCUUCAGAUUUGCAGGACUCAGUGCUGUGAGCAUCCAUCUAUGUGAAGACAGAGAGUAAUUACAGAAAAUUUUUCCACAUAAACAUACACUUUUUUAUGCCACUCCAACCUAUUUUCAGUUUAACUAUAUCAUUUUACUAUAUAAGCAGAACUUCUAAAAUUUAUUUUCAGAGCCUUGUAACUACCUGAUCCUAACAUACCUAAAAAUGUGUUUGCAACUUUCAGCUUAACACUGUGUGACUUCAAUCCUGGCAUUAAGCUCACCUGUCUCAGAGCUCAGCAUCUCCCUAGGUGAGUGCAAGCUGACAAGGUUUCAUCUUUUGUGAAGAACUCUUCUUUUUCCACACCAGCUAGAGAGUGAGAGGCAGGCUGCCCACAGAAGUUGUGAUCAGAAAUGGAUGUGUCAGCUGUUAUCACCAAACCUGCAUGGAUGUAAUCAUAGCUGCUUCUGUGGGCCAGAAGAAAUUGGGAUGUUUACAGCUUUUCAGUGCAGCAGGAAGGAAACAAUCACAAGUGAAAUACAAACACACAUUCACAUGUAAAAAUGCUUGGGAGAAGCACAGAAGUGUGCACAGGCAUGUGUGCUCACACUCAGAUAAAGAGGAUGCCGAAGGGAGCAAGCAGAAAAUGUGUUUGCAGGUGGAAAACGUGACCAAAGAGGUAGAACAUAUGGCAGCAGAGGACAAAGUGAGUGUCUGCAGAGCAGAAGUGAUGGCAGCAGCCUUUCUGUUCCAGGGCUGAGCACAAGGAUGUGAGGGUGAGUCAGCUCCAACACUUCUGGGUCUGGGCUGGGACAAACUGCACACACUCUGUGCGCUGGGCACUCUUAUUAUUGAGGCAGAGAAAGCCAGGAGGAAGGUGUUGUGUUGAUGGAGAAACACUCCACAGUAUUUGCAAAAUCUAAGAGGAACAAGCUACUCAGAAACACUGGUAUGUUCAGUCAAAUUGAUGCUGCAAGGAGGAUGAAAGGGUCUAAAUGGAGACAGAAAUUUUCUGAGGGGUAAUAUAGGUGUGGAGAUGGGGUUUGUGCCUCCCUGCCACUAUCCUUUCUGCCAGUUCACUUAUCCCCUUCUCUCUUUUUGUUCUUGAAAUUGUGUGACUCCUGUGCAUCCUCACGUGGUCUGAGCAAGUCCUAUCCCCUCAUGUGCACAAUAAGCUCCUGCACUACUUCUGACAAUGAGGGUAGUCUGAAUUGUUCAGUUUCAUUCCUGCUAGGGAUUUUUUUUUGUCUAUAUGCUUUCUGGGAAGUCAGUGCUCAAAGGAGCAACCUGUCUAUCUCUGGCUUACAUGCAGUUCCAGCUGAACAGCACUAGGCUUCCAACAGAAGGGUUGAAAGAACAAAGAAAAAGAUUAAUUUAAUUUACCUUGAGGGAUAGUUCAUUUUUCAAAUAGAGACAAUUUGAAAAACACAAGGCACUAUGCCAAUACCUUAGUCACUCUCAAAAACAAAAUUAAGUCUUUCUUGGUAGGAAAAUAAAUGUCAAUGCUGUGUACACUUGCAUCCAGCAGCAAUUCUGAAACUAAUUUUGUAGUAAUUGAUAAGCUGCUAUAUUGCUUCAUUAUGGGUGUUGAAGCUUUAAACAUUCCUGUCCAGGCCAGACUUGGCCUGACACCAAAGUGGUCAUUUGCCAUGUACCCUGCAGGCUGUACCCAGCAGGCUGAGCAGUAAUCAGAGCUGCCACAGAGCUUAAACAGUGAUGUUCACUGGUGGCUGAAUACGGUUCAGAACAUUAUGGGCCAAAAAUCCUAACUUACACAGUUAGGCUGCUUAAUGAAUCCCAAAACUGACCUGGACAAUAUGAAACCAUCCAUCAGAUUAGAAAAAGAAGUUGCCCUUCAAGCAAGAGACCAUUAAAUAGCUGAUAAAUGGGUGUCUCUAUGAGUAGGAUUUCAGGACACUAAAUUUAAACCAAUAUCUUCUUUUUUUUGAGUGAUGCCAAUAAGAUUCUUUAUUAUCUAUGAAAAUGAGUGUGAGUGACUUUCUCAGCCUUCUGAGAAAGGUGCAUAGUGGUUUAUUAAUCUGUUAGAAGGCUGUGUCUAGGUAGGCUUCAUUCAGGCAUCUUCAUUAACUUAUUUUUAAAUGCAGAACCCCCAUCAGCUGAGGUGUGCUGGGUUAUUUCCAUUGUUUGUUCUCCCAGCACACACCCACUGACCACUGCUGGUGCUGCACAGUGGGCUCUGUGUGCUCAGUGCCUGAUUGUGCACCUCACUCUGUGUCUGCAGUGCUGCUCUGCCCACUUAGGGCUCCUGAGAGGCAAUUCACCUGUUUAUUCCUGCUCCUUCUGCUGGGAAUUUCUACCAGGGACUAAUUUCUACCAGAGGUUCUCGUUAUUCUUUCUAGCUGGACAUCCCAGACUCCACUGCAGUAAAGCCUCCUGCUGAUGAACUCAUCCUUUCACGCCAACGAGGUGGCUUCAGAGUGACACUCCCACUGCAAUUACAGUGGCAGCCUGGGCACGUUUAGGGCUGGGAUGGAAACAGCCCUGAGCCUCUCUCUGCAGUCUUUGCUUGAGGAAGCCCAAAGUGAAGGACAGCAAGGUUUUGUCCUUGCAGGACACAGAAGGACACAUGUGCUCUGGGCUCUGCCAGGCGCCACUCAAAGUGCUCCCUCUUGGCUCCUGCUCUGAACCAACCCCUGGAGGAGGCUGCUUCCUCCCAUGGAAUUCAGGAUAGGCUUUAGGAACCUUCCUGGUCAUAUCUGAGUGCAGCAACAGGGACUUUGUAGCUAAAAAAUGACAUCCAUGAAGCCCUGCCUGCAACCUGGACCAGCAUAAGGGUGGCCCAUGGGGUUUUGUCGCAUUUGCAAAGUGCUGUUCACCAAUUCAUGCAAUUUCUCUCCUACAUAGCAGAUCCUCUUCAGCUUUCUGCAGCAAGCAGGUGUUUCUCCAUAUUUCCAGUCUGCAAACUUUAAGAAAUCCUAAAAUAAUUUGUCAUUUUAUAAAUAAGUUAUACAAGCUGUCAGCAGAAAUCUGUCACCACGCAGACAGAUGCAAACAUGCGCAGUGUGUGCUGGUACUGAGAUCAGAAUAAAGGCCAUCCAAAAGCAAUUACACUUCCAGGUAUUAGGCAAGCACAAUUAUUUAAAUUGCUAGUCAAAAACAGUUGAUAAAAUAGAUAAUUAAAAAAGAUUGACCUAAAGCUGAUUUUAAAUUAUUCUGUAACAUGCACAUAACUCAUAUAAUUGCUCUCUCAUGACCCAGCCUCCAUUAAAAAGAAAUUUCACCUAGGAAAAAAAUUACAUAUGCAGCGCACGGUGAUUAAAAUAAAUACUUAUUCUCCUGAAUGCUGGAAAUUAUGUGAGGAACUGCAUUAAAAAGUAGGAACAAAUUAGCCCUACAUUGAAGACUGUAGUGUGGUCUGUCAUUUUAAUAAAUCACACUCAGGUGUUACUGAAAUAGAACAUAUGACAAUGCAUUAGCCCACAGAAAUAGUAGAUGACCUAACACAUCUAGAUAUAUAAAAAUUAAGUUGGAAAAAGACAGAAUAAGAUCAUGAAAUCAUUUAGUUUGGAAAAAGGGCCUUAAGAUUAUGGAGUCAAACAACUAAGGCAGCACUGCCAGGUAGAUGCUGAGAUAAUGGGGGAAUUUUUCUUAUUCAGAGUAAAGGGGCUCCUAAAUGACAGGGGGGGUCCUGCCCUGCCAUGAGCACAGACCUCAGGGGGCAGCAGCUGCUGUGGAUGGAUUGCAUUCACACUGCACCAGGCAGAAAAGAGGCAAAGAAGAGCAAGAACUGUGGCACAGGCAGGUUAAAGGCCAGAUUUCCAAACAUAUUUAGUGCAUCUUGAUGAGGAAGAUGGAACCCUUGGAGGAGUCUCAGAUGCCCUUUGUGACCAGCUGGGGUCACACAAAGAUGAAAAGCAAGUGUGUAGGCCUGAGGCCAAAUUUGUGUCCUUAGUGCUGGGAGCAUGGUGGCCGUGUGGCCACCUGACUGAGCUGGACACAGCUGGGAUCAGCAGUAACUGCUGGAGAAGAAAAGCAGCUCUUUGAUUCACUUUGCAAUUAGCACCCCUCCCUGCCAGCACCCCUCCCUGCCUCGUGUGCCAUGGGAAUGGCUCACAAACACGGUUUGUUUGUGCAAUGCUCUCAUAAAAGAAGAAAAUCUUACCCUGCCUCUGUUGAAAGAUGAUGAUUCUGAGUUAGCUUUUAAUGUCUGGAUGCCCAGCUGGAGCAAAGAAACUGUUGAGACAGUGAAACCACAGCACUUUAUACUCUGUUCUGUUGCUUUUGGUCUUCUUCAUUUUGAUUGAUGCUUUUGGCACCUAUGGCCAAAUAUAAGCAUUAACAAGAAUACCAUCAAAUGAAAAAUAAGUGAAUUUUGACCUAUGUCUGCAAUUUGCUGAAACUGUUUGAAGACAUGACCAGAAGCAAAGGACAUUUCUUGAGGAGAAUCCUGUAAGACUUACAUUUUAAUAGCAUGUAGCUCUGCCAGUCUCAUUGCAGAAACAUGAGAGCUUUCAAUUUAAAAUGCUCUCCUGCACACGAAGUACUUCUCCAAACCUGUCACUUCUCAGGAGGCCCUUUCUCAGGCAGUCUGCAUUUUAAAUUGAGCAGUUAUGACAGUUUUCACUGCAAAAGGGGAAAAAUUAGUGAAAACAGAAUAUAUAGGAACUCGGUUACAGUAACAGCUAAACAGUAACCUGCUCCUGGGAAAUAACUGGCUUUGAUUUUUGCAGUGACCAUCUACAGGAAGAAAAGAAAGUCAUGGAGGACUAAAAAAGCUCACCAGCUUUGUGCCUAAAGUAAUGAGUUACAAAAUGGCACAAGCUGAGAUCAUUAAUCCUGAAUUUAUUGACAAGUUUGAAAGCCCCGGGUAGACAUUUGUUAGAGAUUCAGCUGACAGUGCAGCCUGCUCCUUUGUCUAUAGUAUUUUGAAGCCCUCUGCAGUUUUAGAUAUGUUUGUUUUCCUGUGAUGUCUCUGAGACAGGGUGAUGUGAAUCCCAGUUUUGGGGAUGGGAUAUUGAAGCUCUCAGGCAGGUAUGCUGAAAAAUUACUUGAAGCAAAUUUUCACCUGCUCACCUCCAUGCCCCUUCUUCCCCCUUUGCAGACAAGUGCACUUGCAGAGUAGACACAGCUAAUUUCAUGUUGCAGGUUUUUUACAUGAAUUCAAGGCUCAGUCUGUGGCUUACCGAGCACCACUAGAAUGGAAUGGUUAGGAAGGAGCUUUCUCACUAAUCUGCUUUUAGAGUCCAAUUUUCACUUCUGAGUCUUAUGAUAGGAGAUCAAAGUCCCUCAUUAGGGGACUGAAUCCAAUAUUUAAUACACUUAAUGUCACUUUAUAUACUCACAAGAUAGUCUGGUAUCCAUAUAAAACAACAUCCAAGCUCCUUGUGACACUUAAUGAAGGGACAGGAGUAUUUUUAAGCCCUCAUUUUCCAUGCUGUUACAUGGUGGUGGAGCAGGACUGACUUCAGUAGUUAGAUGUCAUACAAGCAGCCUGUCAAAAGCAGGAUCAGUCUCCUCUGCUUUCCAUGAGGGGAUACAGAAGUAUCCUUAUUAAUGCAUCUGUCUUUCAAAAACUGUGCUGUGAUACCCUGCACUAACAUCUUUGGAACAUCCUGGAUUGGGGAAUGUCAAAACUCAGGAUUUGAGUGCACACUGUUGCUCUGUAAAUUGUAUUGGAACUGAUUAACCUAUCAAUCUCUAUUAUUCAGCAGCUACUGGAAACAAGACACAGACUUCUCUGGAGAUUAACCUGGAGUGAGAUCAAAAGGAAACUCCCUUCUCCCCUUCCUGCAUAAAGAGUUACCAGAUUUGCAGCCUAAGAAACAGUAUAUAGGUCUAGUUACGAAGGAAAUAAAAUGCCCUAAUUAAUUUUCUGCUUCACUGAAAUGGAGCUUCAGUCAAAUAGGGAAGGCACACAUUGUGGAUGUCAGAGAGCUGUCCUAGGACCAAGCCUCCAGCACUAUUUGGGAGCAAAAGAGCUGGACUACAAAUCCAUCACCUGGCUGAAAUACC